GAUGAACGCUGGCGGCGUGCCUAAUACAUGCAAGUCGAGCGAACGGACGAGAAGCUUGCUUCUCUUAUGUUAGCGGCGGACGGGUGAGUAACACGUGGAUAACCGACCUAUAAGACUGGGAUAACUUCGGGAAACCUGAGCUCAUACCGGAUGAUAUUUUGAACGGCAUGGUUCAUAAGUGGUAGACGUUCUUGCUGUCACUUAUAGAUGUAUCCGCGCUGCAUUAGCUAGUUGGUAAGGUAACGGCUUACCAAGGCAACGAUGCAUAGCCGACCUGAGAGGGUGAUCGGCCACACUGGAACUGAGACACGGUCCAGACUCCUACGGGAGGCAGCAGUAGGGAAUAUUCGGCAAUGGGCGAAAGCCUGACGGAGCAACGCCGCGUGAGUGAUGAAGGUCUUCGGAUCGUAAAACUCUGUUAUUAGGGAAGAACAUAAGUGUAAGUAACUGUGCACAUCUUGACGUUACCUAAUCAGAAAGCAACGGCUAACUACGUG
rnacentral:rRNA from 1 species